rnacentral:rRNA from 1 species
UACGUAGGGUGCGAGCGUUGUCCGGAAUUAUUGGGCGUAAAGGGCUCGUAGGCGGUUUGUCGCGUCGGGAGUGAAAUCCACUGGCUUAACUGGUGGCUUGCUUUCGAUACGGGCAGACUGGAGGUAUGCAGGGGAGAACGGAAUUCCUGGUGUAGCGGUGGAAUGCGCAGAUAUCAGGAGGAACACCGAUGGCGAAGGCAGGUCUCUGGGCCACUACUGACGCUGAGAAGCGAAAGCAUGGGGAGCGAACAGG